rnacentral:rRNA from 1 species
UACGUAGGGUGCAAGCGUUAAUCGGAAUUACUGGGCGUAAAGCGUGCGCAGGCGGUUCGUUAAGACAGGUGUGAAAUCCCCGGGCUUAACCUGGGAACUGCAUUUGUGACUGGCGAGCUAGAGUAUGGCAGAGGGGGGUAGAAUUCCACGUGUAGCAGUGAAAUGCGUAGAGAUGUGGAGGAAUACCGAUGGCGAAGGCAGCCCCCUGGGCCAAUACUGACGCUCAUGCACGAAAGCGUGGGGAGCAAACAGG